rnacentral:rRNA from 1 species
UACGUAGGGUCCGAGCGUUGUCCGGAAUUACUGGGCGUAAAGAGCUCGUAGGUGGCUUGUCGCGUUGUUCGUGAAAACUCACAGCUCAACUGUGGGCGUGCGGGCGAUACGGGCAGACUAGAGUACUGCAGGGGAGACUGGAAUUCCUGGUGUAGCGGUGGAAUGCGCAGAUAUCAGGAGGAACACCGGUGGCGAAGGCGGUUCUCUGGGCAUUACCUGACGCUGAGGAGCGAAAGUGUGGGGAGCGAACAGG